rnacentral:rRNA from 1 species
CAAUGUAUGCUUUGUAAACUGUUAGACUUGAGUGCAGAAGGGGAGAGUGGAAUUCCAUGUGUAGCGGUGAAAUGCGUAGAUAUAUGGAGGANCACCGGUGGCGAAAGCGGCUCUCUGGUCUGUCACUGACGUUGAGGCUCGAAAGCGUGGGUAGCGAACAGGAUUAGAUACCCUGGUAGUCCACGCCGUAAACGCUGAGUGCUAGGUGUUAGGUCCUUUCCGGGACUUAGUGCCGACGCUAACGCAUUAAGCACUCCGCCUGGGGAGUACGACCGCAAGGUUGAAACUCAAAGGAAUUGACGGGGGCCCGCACAAGCGGUGGAGCAUGUGGUUUAAUUCGAAGCAACGCGAAGAACCUUACCAGGUCUUGACAUCCCGAUGCCCGCUCUAGAGAUAGAGUUUUUCUUCGGAACAUCGGAGACAGGUGGUGCAUGGUUGUCGUCAGCUCGUGUCGUGAGAUGUUGGGUUAAGUCCCGCAACGAGCGCAACCCUUAUUGUUAGUUGCCAUCAUUAAGUUGGGCACUCUAGCGAGACUGCCGGUAAUAAACCGGAGGAAGGUGGGGAUGACGUCAAAUCAUCAUGCCCCUUAUGACCUGGGCUACACACGUGCUACAAUGGUUGGUACAACGAGUCGCAAGCCGGUGACGGCAAGCUAAUCUCUGAAAGCCAAUCUCAGUUCGGAUUGUAGGCUGCAACUCGCCUACAUGAAGUCGGAAUCGCUAGUAAUCGCGGAUCAGCACGCCGCGGUGAAUACGUUCCCGGGCCUUGUACACACCGC